AGGGAGGAAGAAACAACAGGGAUUGCCCCAGUAACGGCGAGUGAAGCGGCAACAGCUCAAAUUUGAAAUCUGGCCCCCGGGUCCGAGUUGUAAUUUGCAGAGGAUGCUUCGGGCGAGGUGCCUUCCGAGUUCCCUGGAACGGGACGCCAUAGAGGGUGAGAGCCCCGUCUGGUCGGACACCGAGCCCGUGUGAAGCUCCUUCGAAGAGUCGAGUAGUUUGGGAAUGCUGCUCAAAAUGGGAGGUAUAUGUCUUCUAAAGCUAAAUAUUGGCCAGAGACCGAUAGCGCACAAGUAGAGUGAUCGAAAGAUGAAAAGCACUUUGAAAAGAGGGUUAAAAAGUACGUGAAAUUGUUGAAAGGGAAGCGCCCAUGACCAGACUUGGGCCCGGUGAAUCACCCGGCGUUCUCGCCGGUGCACUUUGCCGGGCACAGGCCAGCAUCAGUUUGGCGCGGGGGAUAAAGGCUUCGGGAAUGUGGCUCCCUCGGGAGUGUUAUAGCCCGUUGCGCAAUACCCUGCGCCGGACUGAGGUACGCGCAUCGCAAGGAUGCUGGCGUAAUGGUCAUCAGCGACCCGUCUUGAAACACGGACCAAGGAGUCGUCUUCGUAUGCGAGUGUUCGGGUGUCAAACCCCUACGCGGAAUGAAAGUGAACGCAGGUGAGAGCUUCGGCGCAUCAUCGACCGAUCCUGAUGUUCUCGGAUGGAUUUGAGUAAGAGCAUACGGGGCCGGACCCGAAAGAAGGUGAACUAUGCCUGUAUAGGGUGAAGCCAGAGGAAACUCUGGUGGAAGCUCGCAGCGGUUCUGACGUGCGAAUCGAUCGUCAAAUAUGGGCAUGGGGGCGAAAGACUAAUCGAACCUUCUAGUAGCUGGUUUCCGCCGAAUUUCCCCUCAGGGAGAG
rnacentral:rRNA from 1 species